CUAGUGGCGCACGGGUGCGUAACGCGUGGGAAUCUGCCCUUAGGUACGGAAUAACUCAGAGAAAUUUGUGCUAAUGCCGUAUGAUGUCGAAAGACCAAAGAUUUAUCGGUAAAGGAUGAGCCCGCGUAGGAUUAGCUUGUUGGUGAGGUAAAAGCUCACCAAGGCGACGAUCCUUAGCUGGUCUGAGAGGAUGAUCAGCCACACUGGGACUGAGACACGGCCCAGACUCCUACGGGAGGCAGCAGUGGGGAAUAUUGGACAAUGGGCGAAAGCCUGAUCCAGCAAUGCCGCGUGAGUGAUGAAGGCCUUAGGGUUGUAAAGCUCUUUUACCCGGGAUGAUAAUGACAGUACCGGGAGAAUAAGCUCCGGCUAACUCCGUGCCAGCAGCCGCGGUAAUACGGAGGGAGCUAGCGUUGUUCGGAAUUACUGGGCGUAAAGAGUACGUAGGCGGUGAUUCAAGUCAGAGGUGAAAGCCUGGAGCUCAACUCCAGA
rnacentral:rRNA from 1 species